CCUACGGGAGGCUGCAGUGGGGGAUAUUGCACAAUGGGGGAAACCCUGAUGCAGCGACGCCGCGUGAGUGAAGAAGUAUUUCGGUAUGUAAAGCCCUAUCAGCAGGGAAGAUAAUGACAGUACCUGACCAAUAAGCCCCGGCUAACUACGUGCCAGCAGCCGCGGUAAUACGUAGGGGGCAAGCGUUAUCCGGAUUUACUGGGUGUAAAGGGCGCGUAGGCGGUAAUGUAAGUCUGAUGUGAAAGCCCGGGGCCCAACCCCGGGACUGCUUUGGAAACUGUUUAACUAGAGUACAGGAGAGGCAGGUGGAAUUCCUGGUGUAGCGGUAAAAUGCGUAGAUAUCAGGAGGAACACCGGCGGCGAAGGCGACCUGCUGGA
rnacentral:rRNA from 1 species